rnacentral:piRNA from 1 species
GAGCACUUGUAUAGAAUGUACACAAC